UACGUAGGGUCCGAGCGUUGUCCGGAAUCAUUGGGCGUAAAGCGUCCGCAGGUGGCUGUGUAAGUCUGCUGUCAAAGAGCGAAGCUCAACUUCGUAAAGGCAGUGGAAACUACACGGCUAGAGUGCGUUCGGGGCAGAGGGAAUUCCUGGUGUAGCGGUGAAAUGCGCAGAUAUCAGGAAGAACACCCGUGGCGAAGGCGGCUCUCUGGGACGGUACUGACGCUGAGACGCGAAAGCGUGGGGGAGCGAACAGG
rnacentral:rRNA from 1 species